CAGCCGCCGCGGUAAUACGUAGGUGGCAAGCGUUGUCCGGAAUUAUUGGGCGUAAAGCGCACGUAGGCGGUUAUUCAAGUCAGAGGUGAAAGCCCGGGGCUCAACCCCGGAACUGCCUUUGAAACUAGAUGACUGGAAUCUUGGAGAGGUCAGUGGAAUUCCGAGUGUAGAGGUGAAAUUCGUAGAUAUUCGGAAGAACACCAGUGGCGAAGGCGACUGACUGGACAAGUAUUGACGCUGAGGUGCGAAAGCGUGGGGAGCAAACGGGAUUAGAUACCCCUGUAGUCCCUGUCUCUUAUAC
rnacentral:rRNA from 1 species